rnacentral:rRNA from 1 species
AUUGAACGCUGGCGGCAUGCUUUACACAUGCAAGUCGAACGGUAACAGGCCGCAAGGUGCUGACGAGUGGCGAACGGGUGAGUAAUGCAUCGGAACGUGCCCAGUCGUGGGGGGUAACUACUCGAAAGAGUAGCUAAUACCGCAUACGAUCUAUGGAUGACAGCGGGGGACCGUAGGGCCUCGCGCGAUUGGAGCGGCCGAUGUCAGAUUAGGUAGUUGGUGGGGUAAAGGCUCACCAAGCCAACGAUCUGUAGCUGGUCUGAGAGGACGACCAGCCACACUGGGACUGAGACACGGCCCAGACUCCUACGGGAGGCAGCAGUGGGGAAUUUUGGACAAUGGGCGCAAGCCUGAUCCAGCAAUGCCGCGUGCAGGAAGAAGGCCUUCGGGUUGUAAACUGCUUUUGUACGGAACGAAACGGCUCUGGUUAAUACCCGGGGCUAAUGACGGUACCGUAAGAAUAAGCACCGGCUAACUGCGUG